rnacentral:rRNA from 1 species
CCUUACUAAUAGUCCAAUCUAAGUCUCGUGCCAGCAGACGCGGUUAUACGAACUGGGCAAACGUUUAAUAAAUUAAUAGGUAUUAAGGAUCCGUAGGCGGUUUAUAAUAAAGAAACUAGAAUCUAAUAGAGGAUAGUGGAAUGCUAGGAGGAGGGAUGAUAUCCGUUGAUAUCUAGCGGAACAUUAAAGGCGAAAGCAGCUAUCCAGCUAAAGAUUGACGCUGAGGGAUGAAAGUCUGGGGAGCAAAACAGAUUAGAUACCUGUGUAGUCCAGACCGUAAACUAUUUACAUUUCUUAUUUGGCUUAACUAUUUUAUAGUGUAUUUAGUCAGAUAAGCAGCAAACCGCUGUAUGUGUAACACCUUGUAAGUACAGUCCCAGGACCGAAAGCAAAAAGAUUAGACCAUCCUAAAGACCCGGAGUGGAGCAUGUUGUUUAAUACGAUAAUCCGCGUAGAACCUUACCUCUCCUUGAAUGGCUUACAUAACUUUGUUUGUAAGAUCACAGGCGUUGCAUGGCUGUCGGCAGUUCGUGUCGUAAGAUGUCAGGUUGAGUCCGCCAACGAACGCAAUCCCUAUAAAAAGUAUUUAUCAGUUAUUAUACUGCUCUUUUUAUUUGCAUUCAAUAAGAAGCAUUUUGGGAAUACGACAAGCCUUCAUGACCCUUAUGGAGUAUGGGCUACAGACGUGCUACUUGAACCUAACAAACUGAUGCAAUAUCGUAAGAUGGAGCUAACCAGUAAAAUAUGGUGAUACUAGGAUCGUAGUCUGAAAUUCGACUACGUGAAUCAGGAAUUCCGAGUAAUCGUUGAUAAGUACGCAACGGUGAACCUUUACAUUUGGGAGAUACUAACCGUCUAUCAAGUGUUGGUCGUUUAUCAAGCUAUGAACUAGUGUUUAUUUUUAUUCUUUCCUCUUCUAUAUUAUUACUAUCUAGUUACUACUCCGUAGUUGUAUAUAAGUAACAUUAUUUAUAUAUAUAUAUUUUUAUUUAUUUGUACUAAUAUAGAUUAUUUAGUUUAAAUAAUAUUUUAGUUUAAAGUUUCUAUAACGAACACAUGGAAUAGCUUAGAACUCCUAACGCUAAGUUAUAGCAAGGUAGCCGUAAGGGAACUUGUGGCUGAUGGAUACU